GGGGACACGCCAACCUGGCGAGGGGCGAGGUGUGGUUCAGACACCAUUGCCUGCUGUGCUGCUCAAGUUCAAAUGAUGGCCAUGCUGGAGACGCUUACACAGCAGGUCCAUCAAUUAACACAGCAGGUCCAUCAAUUAACUUCCAAAAUUGACAGCUUUGUUCGCCCCAGCGUGACACAAAUGUCUGGUCAAGAAGUGGAGUGGAGAGACCCGUUUCCGUUGACCACAAUGGAGGAAGUGGACAUGUUUGAGCAACAGCUCAAAGAUCCAGCCAACGCUUUAAUGAAGAAGAGUGUGAUUUCCUCCCUGGGAACAAUCGGAGGACAUGAUGUAAAACGUGCAACGUGGAACAUCCUCGCACGCAUGUUCACUGAUGAUGUUGGCAAGUCCAUAAAUUGGAAAGGGAUUAAUGGAAAAAAAUCUUUCAAUCGAAUGACGUCCAAGACUUUGCUCCUGCGUAAGUAACUCAUAUAUAAUGAAAACAAUUUGAUUUCACCCGGAGGUCUUUGUGUUCAAACUUACGAAUAACCAUGUUUCUAAAUAAAAUGUUUGAAUUGCAACUUUAUUCUCUAUUUAGGUGAAUGUUACUCAACUAUACCUUUACAUAAUAGUUAUAUGAUAUAUUAGCUCUAUGGAGUGGAGAUGGUCAGCUGCUUCAGGUUCCUCGGGGUCAACAUCAAUAACGACCUCACCUGGUCUGCUCACACAGACAAGGUGGUCAAAGCGGCCCAGAAGCGCCUCUUCUUCCUGAGGAGACUGAAGAAGUUUGGCAUGGAUUCAGUCAUCCUCACCAAUUUCUACAGAUGCACAAUAGAAAGCAUCCUGACUGGGUGCAUCACAGUGUGGUAUGGGAGCUGCACAGCCAAGGGCCGCAAGGCCCUACGUCGUGUGGUCAGGACUGCGGAGUUCAUCAUCGGUAGGGAGCUCCCAGCCCUGCAGGACACAUACCACACGAUGCCUCAGGAAGACUGGCAGGAUCCUAAAGGACUGC